rnacentral:rRNA from 1 species
ACUAUAUCUAGCCCGAGAUUUUACCAUUAAUCUAACAAUCAAAAUAAAAUAAAAUAAAACAUUCAUCCCUAGAUUAAAGUAUAGGAGAUAGAAAUUCUAAAAUGGCGCGAUAGAGAAAGUACCGUAAGGGAAUGAUGAAAGAAAAAUAAUCAAAGUAUAAAAAAGCAAAGAUUACCCCUUGUACCUUUUGCAUAAUGAAUUAACUAGCAAAAACUUAACAAAAUGAAUUUUAGCUAAGUAACCCGAAACCAGACGAGCUACUUAUAAACAGUUGACUAAGAACCAACUCGUCUAUGUAGCAAAAUAGUGAGAAGAUUUAUAAGUAGAGGUGAAACGCCUAACGAGCCUGGUGAUAGCUGGUUGUCCAGAAAAUGAAUAUUAGUUCAGCUUUAAAGAUACCAAAAAUACAAACAAAUUUACUGUAUCUUUAAAAGUUAGUCUAAAAAGGUACAGCCUUUUAGAAAUGGAUACAACCUUAACUAGAGAGUAAGAUUCAACAUAACCAUAGUAGGCCUAAAAGCAGCCAUCAAUUAAGAAAGCGUUAAAGCUCAACAAUCAGACAAUACUUAAUCCCACCAACAAACUAACUAACUCCUAGACCCACUACUGGACCACUCUAUUAUAAAAUAGAAGCAAUAAUGUUAAUAUGAGUAACAAGAAAUAACUUCUCCCUGCAUGAGUUUAAGUCAGUAUCUGAUAAUACCCUGACUAUUAACGGUAAAUAAAAAUAACCCAAAAAUAGACAAUUUAUUUAUUAUACUGUUAACCCAACACAGGAAUGCAUCCAGGAAAGAUUAAAAGAAGUAAAAGGAACUCGGCAAACACAAACCCCGCCUGUUUACCAAAAACAUCACCUCCAGCAUUUCUAGUAUUGGAGGCACUGCCUGCCCAGUGACAAACGUUAAACGGCCGCGGUAUCCUGACCGUGCAAAGGUAGCAUAAUCAUUUGUUCUUUAAAUAAGGACUUGUAUGAAUGGCCACACGAGGGUUUUACUGUCUCUUACUUCCAAUCAGUGAAAUUGACCUUCCCGUGAAGAGGCGGGAAUAAAAAAAUAAGACGAGAAGACCCUAUGGAGCUUUAACUAAUUAGUUCAAAAAAUAAAGAAACUUAACCACCAGGGGGUAACACUAACUUUUAUGAACUAACAGUUUUGGUUGGGGUGACCUCGGAGAACAAAUAAUCCUCCGAGCGAUUUUAAAAACUAGACACACAAGUCAAAUUGAACCAUCGCUUAUUGAUCCAAAAUUUGAUCAACGGAACAAGUUACCCUAGGGAUAACAGCGCAAUCCUAUUCAAGAGUCCAUAUCGACAAUAGGGUUUACGACCUCGAUGUUGGAUCAGGACACCCCGAUGGUGCAACCGCUAUCAAAGGUUCGUUUGUUCAACGAUUAAAGUCCUACGUGAUCUGAGUUCAGACCGGAGCAAUCCAGGUCGGUUUCUAUCUAUUAUGAAUUUCUCCCAGUACGAAAGGACAAGAGAAAUAAGGCCAACUUUAAAAACGCGCCUUAAACCAAUUAAUGACUCCAUCUCAAUUAACCCUACAAAUAAGACCUGCCCUAGCAAAGGGCUUA